rnacentral:rRNA from 1 species
ACGAUGGAUAGGGGUUCUGAGAGGAAGGUCCCCCACAUUGGAACUGAGACACGGUCCAAACUCCUACGGGAGGCAGCAGUGAGGAAUAUUGGUCAAUGGGCGAGAGCCUGAACCAGCCAAGUAGCGUGAAGGAUGAAGGCUCUAUGGGUCGUAAACUUCUUUUAUAUGGGAAUAAAGUUUUCCACGUGUGGAAUUUUGUAUGUACCAUAUGAAUAAGGAUCGGCUAACUCCGUGCCAGCAGCCGCGGUAAUACGGAGGAUCCGAGCGUUAUCCGGAUUUAUUGGGUUUAAAGGGAGCGUAGGUGGAUUGUUAAGUCAGUUGUGAAAGUUUGCGGCUCAACCGUAAAAUUGCAGUUGAAACUGGCAGUCUUGAGUACAGUAGAGGUGGGCGGAAUUCGUGGUGUAGCGGUGAAAUGCUUAGAUAUCACGAAGAACUCCGAUUGCGAAGGCAGCUCACUAGACUGUUACUGACACUGAUGCUCGAAAGUGUGGGUAUCAAACAGGAUUAGAUACCCUGGUAGUCCACACAGUAAACGAUGAAUACUCGCUGUUUGCGAUAUACAGUAAGCGGCCAAGCGAAAGCAUUAAGUAUUCCACCUGGGGAGUACGCCGGCAACGGUGAAACUCAAAGGAAUUGACGGGGGCCCGCACAAGCGGAGGAACAUGUGGUUUAAUUCGAUGAUACGCGAGGAACCUUACCCGGGCUUAAAUUGCAA